rnacentral:rRNA from 1 species
UGUCAGUGGCGGACGGGUGAGUAACGCGUAGGUAUCUAUCCUUGGGUGGGGGACAACUGUGGGAAACUACAGCUAAUACCGCAUGAUAACUGAGGUUUAAAGGCGCAAGUCGCCUGAGGAGGAGCCUGCGUACGAUUAGCUAGUUGGUGGGGUAAAGGCCUACCAAGGCGACGAUCGUUAGCUGGUCUGAGAGGAUGAUCAGCCACAUUGGGACUGAGACACGGCCCAAACUCCUACGGGAGGCAGCAGUGGGGAAUAUUGGACAAUGGGCGAAAGCCUGAUCCAGCAAUGCCGCGUGUGUGAAGAAGGUCUUCGGAUUGUAAAGCACUUUCGACGGGGACGAUGAUGACGGUACCCGUAGAAGAAGCCCCGGCUAACUUCGUGCCAGCAGCCGCGGUAAUACGAAG